AGGACGAACGCUGGCGGCGUGCUUAACACAUGCAAGUCGAGCGAGGCCUUCCCUUCGGGGAAGUGCCCUAGUGGCGAACGGGUGAGUAACACGUGGGCAACCUGCCCCUAGCACUGGGAUAACUCCGGGAAACCGGGGCUAAUACCGGAUAUGACCUUCGAGGGCAUCCUCUUUGGUGUAAAGGAUUCUGGCUAGGGAUGGGCCCGCGGCCUAUCAGCUUGUUGGUGGGGUAAUGGCCUACCAAGGCGACGACGGGUAGCCGGCCUGAGAGGGCGACCGGCCACACUGGGACUGAGACACGGCCCAGACUCCUACGGGAGGCAGCAGUGGGGAAUUUUCGGCAAUGGGGGAAACCCUGACCGAGCAACGCCGCGUGCAGGAAGACGGCCUUCGGGUUGUAAACUGCUUUUCUUUGGGACGAGUAAGGACGGUACCAGAGGAAUCAGCCCCGGCUCACUACGUGCCAGCAGCCGC
rnacentral:rRNA from 1 species